CACUAGGAAGCUAAAUCGGGCACAGCGCUAGCCUUUUAAGCUUGAGAUUGGUGGGCCCCAACCACCCCUAGUAA
rnacentral:tRNA from 1 species